GCGGCGUGUAUUAGGCAUGCAAGUCGAACGGGCGUUUCAGGAGCUUGCUCCGGAGACGUUAGUGGCGGACGGCUGAGUAACGCGUUGGUGACCUACCCCGAAGUGGGGAAUAACUGCCGAAAGGGUGGCUAAUACCGCAUACGAUCGGUCAUUCGGUUGACUGAUCAAAGCAGCAAUGCGCUUCGGGAGGGGCCUGCGUCUGAUUAGCUCGUUGGUGGGGUAAUGGCUCACCAAGGCGACGAUCGGUAGGUGGUCUGAGAGGACGAUCACCCAGACUGGGACUGAGACACGGCCCAGACUCCUACGGGAGGCAGCAGCUAAGAAUCUUGCUCAAUGGGCGAAAGCCUGAAGCAGCAACGCCGCGUGAGGGAUGAAGGCCUUCGGGUUGUAAACCUCUUUUCUCAGGAACGAUAAUGACGGUACCUGAGGAAUAAGCCACGGCUAACUACGUGCCAGCCGCCGCGGUAA
rnacentral:rRNA from 1 species